rnacentral:rRNA from 1 species
GAUGAACGCUGGCGGCAGGCCUAAUACAUGCAAGUCGAACGGCAGCACGGCAGAGCUUGCUCUGUGGGUGGCGAGUGGCGGACGGGUGAGGAAUACAUGGGAAUCUGCCCAGUCGUGGGGGAUAACGUAGGGAAACUUACGCUAAUACCGCAUGCGCCCUUCGGGGGAAAGCCGGGGACCUUCGGGCCUGGCGCGAUUGGAUGAGCCCAUGUCGGAUUAGCUAGUUGGCGGGGUAAUGGCCCACCAAGGCGACGAUCUGUAGCUGGUCUGAGAGGAUGAUCAGCCACACUGGAACUGAGACACGGUCCAGACUCCUACGGGAGGCAGCAGUGGGGAAUUUUGGACAAUGGGGCAACCCUGAUCCAGCCAUGCCGCGUGAGUGAAGAAGGCCUCGGUUCGUAAGACUCUUCGCCGGAGAACGUAUGGUAAUACCUACGUGCGGAUGACGGUACCGGCGAUAAGAAGCGACCGGCUAACUAACGUCGCCGACGCACG